CAGUAUAGUAGAUUGAAGCAACAAAUUCUACACCUCUGAAGCUAGAGUGGGUUAGAAUGAAGUUACUUGAAAAAGAGGAGCGCCAAAGAGGUUGAGAUUCGGCGAGACCAAACGAAAUUCGUCCUUCUUAAACAGUCUUUGCUCCAUUCUCAUUACACAACAACGAGCAAAGAAGGGCAGCUGUGAAAGCCCAAUUUCACCCGGGCCUAAACCAAACAAAACAAACCAAAAAAAUAAAUAAAACAAAAUAUUAAAGUCCAUAGUCCAAAUUACAAUUAUAGCCCAUUUACAAAAAAAAAAUAGCAAGCCCAAAUCAGAAAACCCAAAUGACCCAAAAUCUAAACAGUAUUCAAAAGAAAAAAAAAAGAAACCCCUAACUGUUGCACCUAAAACCCUAGCCUGCCGCCCCCACUCUUCUCACGUCAGCGCCGUCAACUGCUCUGCUCCCUCAACCACCCCUGCAAAGAAGAAGCAAAA
rnacentral:lncRNA from 1 species